GACGUAGGGGGCGAGCGUUAUUCGGAAUUAUUGGGCGUAAAGCGCACGUAGGCGGCUUUUCAAGUCGGAUGUGAAAUCCCUCGGCUUAACCAAGGAAGUGCAUCCGAAACUGGAGAGCUUGAGUACUUAAGAGGAUCGCGGAAUUCCCGGUGUAGAGGUGAAAUUCGUAGAUAUCGGGAGGAACACCAGUGGCGAAGGCGGCGAUCUGGGAAGAUACUGACGCUGAGGUGCGAAAGCGUGGGGAGCAAACAGG
rnacentral:rRNA from 1 species